AGAAAUGGGAGAGAGGAGAAUGGAUUGGAUGAUUAUUUAUUUUGAAGAAGCCAUCCACUGUAAAUAUGACAUUUUAAGUAUGGAAACUAUACCUGAUAGCCUGAUGGUGUCUGAAGUAGAAUUUUCCUCAGCUUGCUUGUAUUGCCCCUCUGUCACAUUUUCACCGACCACGAUCUAAUAACUAGUUUUUUCUUCUUGUGUUUCUAAGAACUCCUGUAAUUUUUUGAAGCUCGAAGCUUUUGUU
rnacentral:lncRNA from 1 species